CAAAUCUUAAAAGAAAUUCGAUAAUAAAAUACAAAUCUUCUUAAAUAAAUUAAAAAUUUCUGCAAUCUUCAUUAAAAGUCUGUGUCUCUGUGUUUGUUUCUCUGUGCAAAAGUUGUGUGUAGUGCCGUAAGUGCAAAAAAAAUUGUUCAAAAUGAUUCGUCUGAAACAUUUUUGCUAUUCAAUUAAUUUUAAUUGAAAAGUAAAGAAAAGAAUUAAUAAUUCUAUACCGAAAAAGAAUUUUCCGGCAUUACAUAUUAAAACCUGCUGUCGAACAGUUGCAACGGUUCAUAGCAAGUGCCGCAAUUUAAAAUUUUAAGAAAAAAAAAAAAGCAAAAAUAACAAAAAGCAAAAAA